rnacentral:rRNA from 1 species
UACGUAGGGUGCAAGCGUUAAUCGGAAUUACUGGGCGUAAAGCGUGCGCAGGCGGCUUUGCAAGACAGAUGUGAAAUCCCCGGGCUUAACCUGGGAAUGGCAUUUGGGACUGCAAGGCUGGAGUGUGGCAGAGGAGACUGGAAUUCCUGGUGUAGCAGUGAAAUGCGUAGAUAUCAGGAGGAAUACCGAUGGCGAAGGCAGGUCUCUGGGCUGACACUGACGCUCAUGCACGAAAGCGUGGGGAGCAAACAGG